CCCAACUUCUCAUCGACAGCCCACAAAGUCACAGAAAAGCCAGCUACAAACCGAGACUGGCGACUCGAUUCCAAAAUCUUGGAAGAAGUGAUGCUAAUUAAAAAGCACAUGGAGCAGGGCUGAGAAUAGCCCAUCGUGCUUUAUGUCACGGCACACGAAGGGCUGGCUCACAAAUUAGAAGACACCUGCAAACACGGAGAUGAAGAUGGUCUGGACCCCCAGCGACCCAGGCUCCGACCAACCAAAACAUUGAGAAAAUGUCCUUCUUUACCCCAUCAGGCAAAAAGUGGAAAAUCCCAGAAACCAUUGGAGAGGAAUGGAGGAGGAUGCAAGGAAAUAGUAAGGGAGGCAAGAGAGAUUGGAGUGAUGCACCCACCACAGGAUGACUUUCUCCAGGGACAUCCAUGUUACUGCAAGUGGAGGUAAAACAAUUAUACAUGGAAAGCUAUAAACCAUUGGUGAAGGAAAUUAAAGAAGACUUAAAAAAAUGGAAAGAUAUCCCAUGUUCUUGGAUUGGAAGAAUCAAUAUUGUUAAAAUGGUCACACUGCCCAAGGCAGCCUACAGAUUUACUGCAAUCCCUGUCAAAUAACCCAGGACAAAUUUCACAGAACUAGAACAAAUCAUAAUAAAAUUUAUAUGGAGCCACAAAAGACUUAGAAUUGCCAAAGCAUUACUGAAGAGAAAGAAAGAGGCUGGAGGAAUAACUCUCCCAGACUUCAGACAAUACUAUAGAGCUACAGUAAUCAAGACAGCAUGGUAUUGGUGCAAAAACAGACAUAUAGACUAAUGGAACAGAACAGAGAGCCCUGAAAUGAACCCACAAACUUUUGGCCAACUAAUCUUCGACAAAGGAGGCAAAAAUAUACAAUGGAAUAAAGACAGUCCCUUCAGCAAAUGGUGGUAGGAAAAGGACAGCAGCAUGUAAAUCAAUGAAGCUAGAACACUCCCUUACACCAUACACAAAAAUCAACUCAAUAUGGAUCAAAAACUUAAACAUAAGACAAGAUACAAUAAAUCUCCUAGAAGAAAAUAUAGGCAAAACAUUAUCUGACAUACAUCUCAAAAAUGUUCUCCAAGGGCAGUCUACCCAAGCAAUAGAAAUAAAAGCAAGAAUUAAAAAAUGGGACCUGAUUCAACUUACAAGCUUCUGCACAGCAAAGGAAACCAUAAGUAAUGCAAAAUGACAACCAACGGAAUGGGAGAAAAUUUUUGCAAAUGAAACUGGCAAAGGUUUGAUCUCCAGAAUAUAUAAGCAGCUCAUACGACUCAAUAAGAAAAAAAUAAACAACCCAAUCCAAAAAUGGGCAGAAGACCUAAACAAGCAAUUCUCCAAGGAAGAAAUACAA